ensembl:lncRNA
GCUGCCCCUGCACCCCCUGGCAGCUUCCAGCCUCUGGGCAUCUUCUGCUCCUGGGGUCUGGAAAACGGAGCAGGUCGAGCCCAAAGCAAAACCGCUGCAAUUCAAAGCGCAGGGAGGGAGGUGGAGCCAGGCUGUGGCUGAACAGCCUCGGGGCAGGGGGCUUUGCGGAGGGGUCUCCCUCGCCCUCCCCUGCAUGGGCAGAAAGCCGGCAGACCCCUGGCACCGCGGCAUCAAGAGGAGCCAUAAGAAAUCUCCCCUCAGCCCCGGUGCUGCGCCGUCCUCUGCCCUGCUCCCCUCCAGCGCCCCGUGGGCCAGGCCUGGGGGCUCAGAGCCCGCACCCGUCCCAGGGAGCCCAAGGUGGGGCUGCCCCACCCCAGCUCUAGCCGCGAGGCUCCUCUGCCUUCCCAGCCCCAGCAGAGCUCAGCUGCCCAGGGGGCUCCUGCCCCAGCUCUGGCUGGUGCCAGCUGGCACCCACAGCCCCCGUCCACCGCGUAUCCCCUGGCUCCAUUUGCCACCAGUGCCCGGAGCAUCGGAGCUGAUGGCAUAUGGGGUGCAGGUUGCGUCUGAGCAAAGCGAUGAAGGAAAUCCAUCCUCAUCCUUCAGCGCCACGCCAGAGGCUGACCCAGGUAGGUACCCCAGUUUCCAGCCAUUCUGGGGAUGAUGGGCCUGGCCCGGCCCAGCGAGCGGUGCUGAGGCCAUGAGCACUAAGUGCACGGGGGCUGGCUGUGCCGAGCCCCGACCCCUCGGGAAAGCCCUGGGUGGCGGGGGGCAGGCAGCUGCUUGCCCCUCGCCCACGCAUCUCCUCCCCACACAGGCAUCGCCGCCCGUCCGCGCCCCUCGACUCGCCGCCRAUGGCCCUUGCUCCUCAGCACAGYGCUCCGGGCUCUGCGCAGAGCUUUCUCCUGCAGCUGUGUCACAGGGCARCGAGAGGGACGGCGCAAGGACGCAAGGGCCAGGCAGGUCCCCUGAGAUCGGGGCUGCCCCUGAGGAUGCGCGGCGCAAAGACAGGGACCAACGGAGAUGCACAUGAYCACGCUGGAGGCACACCAACUUGCACACUCCUGCAGACACCCGUCAGGCUACAGCCAUUCCUACCCAAAAUAAACACUUGGGAAGCUUUUUCGCCCAGUGUUAACUUUGUGUCAGGUCCAUCUGGAGAGAGCCUGGGGCAGGUCAAGGCAGGAAGGCAGAGAGAGCUGCAGGGAAACCCGGUCAGGCGCUGCCUGUCACAGAGCAGCCGGGGUGGGAAGGGGCUUCGGCAGGUCUCUGCUCCGACCUCCUGCUGCAAGUGGGGCCGACCGGAGCAGGUUUCCUGGGGCCGGGCACCGUCGAGGAGCGACUGGCUCCACGGAUUCCCCCACGAGCCUGGGCCCCUGGUCCAGUGCUCGAGCACCCUUAGGCUACAGAGUCUUUCCUGUCUCUCGUGGGAAUUUCCCCCUGCUGCAACUUGUGCUCUUGCCCCUCGUCCUGUCCCCAGCUACCUCUGGCUCCAUCCUGCCGCCACCCUGCCGUCAGGCAGAUGCCGACAGCGGCCUGAUCCCCCUGCGCCUUCUCUUCUCCUGCCUCAACAGCCCCAGCGCCCKCGGCCUCUCCUCACACCUCCCGGGCUCCAGCUCCCCACCAGCUCCCGGCCCGCGCCUCCCCCRCGGCCACGGUCCCCGCACAGGAUGGAGCACCUCCUUCCAAAGGACCUCUCCUGUCAUGGUCCCAACAAYGUCCCCUUGCACGUGUCCCCUCCGCCUCGCUCCAAAAACGCCCCUCUGCACCCCUCUCCUCACCUGGCCCCUCCCGCCUCCCCACCUGAGGCCCCUCCUGUGUGUCCUCCCGGAUCACACGCGUGCUUUGGCGUCUCCUGCCCCUCGCAGCUACGCGACAGCCCUGGGGACGCGGCCAGCGCUUGCCGAGGCACAUGCUGCGGAGCUGAGGGGCUCAGCGGCAGCCGCCGCCGCCGCCG